rnacentral:lncRNA from 1 species
CACACAUACACAUAUACACACCAGCUCUCACUGAAAUUAAACUAUAACUGAAGACAUCACACACACACACACAACAGCUCUCACUGAAAUUGAAGCCAAACUAUAACUGAAGAUAUCACACACACACACACACACACACACACCAGCUCUCACUGAGAUUAAGCUAUAACUGAAGACAUCACACACACACACACCAGCUCUCACUGAAAUUAAACUAUAACUGAAGACAUCACACACACACACACACACACCAGCUCUCACUGAAAUUAAACUAUAACUGAAGACAUCACACACACACACACACACACCAGCUCUCACUGAGAUUAAGCUAUAACUGAAGACAUCACACACACACACACACACACCAGCUCUCACUGAAAUUAAACUAUAACUGAAGACAUCACACACACACACCAGCUCUCACUGAAAUUAAGCUAUAACUGAAGACAUCACACACACACACACACACACACCAGCUCUCACUGAAAUUAAGCUAUAACUGAAGACAUCACACACACACACACACACCAGCUCUCACUGAAAUUAAGCUAUAACUGAAGACAUCACACACACACACACACACACCAGCUCUCACUGAAAUUAAACUAUAACUGAAGACAUCACACACACAUACACACACCAGCUCUCACUAAAAUUAAACUAUAACUGAAGGCAUCACACACACAUACACACACCAGCUCUCACUGAAAUUGAAGCCAAACUAUAACUGAAGAUAUCACACACACACACACACACACACCAGCUCUCACUGAAAUUAAGCUAUAACUGAAGACAUCACACACACACACACACACACACACCAGCUCUCACUGAAAUUAAACUAUAACUGAAGACAAAUCCUGCAGGGUCACACACCAACUGCUGUUUGGGAAGUUCUUCAAUGAUUCCAACCUGGAUUCCUCUUACUUUACUUGGAUGCCAGCCACAACAUUCCUGGGAUCCUUUUCCAUUUAAAUAAGUUAGGGCUUGGAGAUGGGGAGUGGGAGGAGCAUGGGGAAGCCAAGGCCCAGAGAAGGUAAGCAACCGUCCUAAGAUAACACAGCACUCUUGAGAUGACAGCUCAGGUAUGCAGUCUGCCGGCCCAAGCCCCAUGGAACUGUGGGAAGGAACGCAAGUGAUUCUCCUAUUGGACAGGGGCAAGUGCAUGGAAAAGGAUGAUGGUGAGGCUGAAAGCAGGAAAAGAUUUGACCCAUCUCCCACGUAUGAGCAGCCAUCUCGGGGCACAGGAUCCUAGAAUCCUCAGCAAAGGCAGAAAAAUGGCUAAGAUGACCCUCACCAACCCAUAUGUGCCUUAUCAGCCCAAGAGUGAGUCAGCAGAUGCGGCCAGCACCUUCCGUGUCUGGAAAAGAGACAGGAUUGGGAGAAAAUGUGGGAGGUUGCCCUUUCCCUGGGCCAAAUUAAAAUUCUAACCAAGGAGUUUCUUCAGUCUUGCUGGAGAGUAAAGUUCCCAGAGGGGCAGGGAAGAGUCCCAGAUUCUACAGAGCUUCCCCUGGAAAUGUCAGUGCAUCCAUCAGCUUUGCUCUUGAGCCUUGCUGAGUCUGAGGUGGACAAAGUGACCCACCCUCCUGGCCAUCUUAGUGCCCACCUUGGAUCGGGGGAAAAGGGGGUGGCACGCCGAGGCAGAAGUCCCAAAAGUCAGGGCAGCAGUCGGAGACCGUGCGGUUGCAAAAGAGGUCACAGUAACAAAUGGCGCCCAGGUAGGGCAGGGCACAGUCGUCGGCACGGCCGCGGCAGCACAGGUCCUGCUCCUGGCAGUACCGGCCUCCCGCGUCCCGGAUGCCCCGCAGGUGCAAACCCGGUGCUAGCUCCCGGCGCCCACAACCCUGCUGGGCACCCAGAGCCAAGUGGCCAGCCAGCGGCAGCAACAGCAGUAGCCCCAGUGGACAUCGCCACAUGGUGGCUCCUGGGCCCUGGGGGGCAGAGAUGGUGGGCAGCAGAGACUUCCUGGAACACCAGGGACGGGUCUCCCAGUUUCCUGGAGCUGUGAGUUCAAGAGGGCCCAGCAGGGAGGGAGAUCCCGAUUCCUGAGUCCCCAGGCAGGACACGGGCAGAGGAGCCCCAGUGUGUGGGCCCUGGCUAUAGGGGGAUGGGGACUGGGCAGAAACGGAGCCCCUCCCUGACCUAGGCAGGGACCUUCAAGGACAAGGAAAUGAGGGUGGUGGCAUUCUUGGUGCUCCCACCCAGCACUCAUCCUGUGGACCCAAGGUCUUCUCUCCUGUCCUGGGUCUCUCUGCCCUCCAGGAGCCUCCAUCCCUGACCUGGGUCCUUGACUUUGUGCUUUCCUGUCUCCCCCGGUCUUUUGGGUACACCUCUCUUCUGUUCCUGUGUCCCUCUGUCCCCCUCCACUGUCCCUCUCUCUGCCAUCUGUCUUGGUUCCUCUACCUGCCCCCUCCCCCUGUUUCUUCUCGGUCUACACCUUCCGCCCUCUGAGCAGGGGAGCGUCCCUACCUGGUGAAGGUGUGGGCUGGGGCCCAGGCUGGCCCGCGCGCCUCCG